UAUUUACAAAGGGCCCACAACAUGUGUCAUUUGGUACUUGUUAUAAAUUUAAAAAUGGAACGUUGGUAAUAAAACCAACUGUGUUGACGUUAUACACGGCCGGCAGUCAUAACUCACAAGUCGGUGUUUGCUGUCCGGCCUGGGAUGCAUGAUUGAACAUACCGAUGACACAAAGGGGCGAUGACGUCAAACCGAGCGUCAUUUCUGAACGAUUGAAUCAAUUGACGUGAUUGGACAAGCAGCAGUAUCCACCCGACACUGUUCCUACGCAGCGGAAGGGGAACACAGGAACUAGGAAGAUAAAGCAAGAUUGGCAUAUUACAUCGAACUUUAUUGAUAAUAGUUUAAUUAAUACGUGCAUGUCUAUCCAAAAUUUAAGACUCAGGGUGAACGAAUUAAAGAUGUAAUUGUGGAGCUGAACGUUUAAAGAAACGAUUAGAACAUACAGGUCGAGGAUAUUUGAUAGAAAUCCUUACAUCCAAAUAUAAUAAGGCCUUCACCUUGAAAUGAGAAAGUUAGCCCUACGUGCGUGAUUGCACGAUUCACUCGUCACCAAGGGAAGACCCUGUAGGCUGUAACUACGUAAAGUCUUUGACAUAAUUUAUCAAUUUAUGUCUAUGACGUGUUUUACAACUAUUAUUUUUUUCUACAAGUAGUCCUAAUUUCUAAUAACACAGAAGGAUGGAUAAGAAAAACCGCUAAUCGACUGAACGAUUAAAACCAGAAUCUGCUUAAUAGUAAGUUUUCAUGAAUUUAUCUGUGUAUUUUAAUAAUAAUUAUGCUAUAAUAAAACUUCUUCCAAUUUAUGGUACCUUAGUACUUUUUAUCGAUCUUCGAACAUGUAUUGGUGAUGUCCAGUUAAAAUAGUUUUGUCUUCGAUGAUACGUGAAGCUAUUCCGUAUCACGUCGUAGAAUUUUCAUAGGAUUAUGAAAUAAUGACUAAACACAAUCGAUAAGAGUGGUAGAAAGUUAUCUACUGACUAGAUAAGCCUUUACGAGCUGGAUACUGCAAAAAAAUUGAGCUUUGCAGCUCUUUCACGCUAACCGUUUUGCAAGUGUCAUUCGCAGUACACUUCCAUACGAUAUUAACUACACAGAUUUUGUGAAUACAUUUUAUGCAGAAAUUCUCACAGUGAAUGCUAGCUUUAAUACACUUCUACUCCAUACUUCUGACAGGCCAUUAAGGAUUUGCUAGACAUGUGGCAAAAGGAAAUUAUAUUCUUUCAUCGUCCAGCAAAGGUCUUCCGCUUGACUUGAGGUGCUUCCCUUUAUUACUUAAUGAUUAUGUAGUUCAUACAAAAUCUCAAAAUAUAAUGUUAUAGUUGAGUAUAAUAAUGAGUUAUAAGAAAGUUAUAAGAAAUCAGAACAAUCUAUGACAAAGAUAGAUUUAUUAAUGUGGGAAAUACUUAUCAUGUAAUGUAUUAUUUACCUACGGAAAUACAUCAUUUACUUGAAUGUCAAUAACACGAUCAGGAUAUCAAAUUUAGGAAGCCUAUAGCAAAUUUAACUGGUGCUCUAUCAUUUGGUAGAGCGUACAAACUAAGAAUAAAAAGACCCAUAGCUCUGGUAUGAAGAAUUUAUUAAUUACUAAGUGUUACUCGAGGCUUUGGCUGCAUAUCUUGGAAUAUCUUUUCCUGCUACAUAAGUGCCUAAAAUACAGUACCGAUUUAUAGCGCCACGAGAACGAUACCGGCUUCAUCUAAUUAAAAAAUCUGAUUCCAUUAUUUCCCAUGCUAGCUAAAAACCUGGAUAAAAAGUAUGUGUUAAUUCAGGACAUGGUCUCUCUGUGUGGCUAAAUUCAUCCAAAUUCGUUCCGCUAUUUAUUUGUUUACUUCUAACAAACACCCAAACGUCGAAAUACCCAAACAUUGUACAAACUUUCGCAUUUAUAAUAUUAGUAAAAUUUCUUAGAUGUCAGUUUUGUUUCCAUUUCAAAUGACCUAAUCGAGUAGGGUUAUUAAUGUAAGACUACAUUUUGCACAUUGAUUGACAAAUUAUUUGUUAUAUUCAGUCUCUUUUAUCAUUUAUAAACUUCACAAUGACAUUGCAAGACCUUGGGAGACCAUACAUUGCAUCGGUGGUAAAUUGAGAGUUUCUAUCUUUUAUUGCAAUAAUGUAUUUAUAUAUUAAUACCUAUAGCUACACAGUCAUACGUUUGCUGUAUUGCAUCAUCACACAGUUCUAUAUCACUAAUAGAGCGAGAAUCAUUCAAGUGAGAAUAUUUACAAUUUUGACUCGGUAAACCUGAAGCCAAUAGGAAAAAUACAACUAAAUAAUUCACUCACCUGUUGUUUUAUACGCAAAAACAGUUUAUUUACGAAGAAACUGCGCUAUUCAUGGUUUUAAGUAAGUUGUUUGUUAUUGUUGGCAUUUUCUAAAAUUAGAAGUGUUUUUAAUAUUCCUGUAUAAUAAUAUUAAUGUCGUCAUGUUCCAAAUAACGUAUUUCGUAACGUUCCAAGCAUA